rnacentral:rRNA from 1 species
UACAGAGGGUGCGAGCGUUAAUCGGAAUUACUGGGCGUAAAGCGUGCGUAGACGGUUAUCUAAGUCGGAUGUGAAAGCCCCGGGCUCAACCUGGGAAUUGCAUUCGAGACUGAAUAGCUAGGGUGCGGUAGAGGGAAGCGGAAUUUCCGGUGUAGCGGUGAAAUGCGUAGAUAUCAGGAGGAACACCGGUGGCGAAGGCGGGUCUCUGGGCAAUAACUGACGCUGAGGAGCGAAAGCGUGGGGAGCGAACAGG